AGUGAACGCUGGCGGCAUGCCUAACACAUGCAAGUCGAACGGAAGCACAAUAAGCGUUUGCCCCUACGGUUGGCGAGUGGCGGAUGGGUGACACAUGCAUCAGAUUCCUCUAUGACUGGGGUGACUACGGGGGACAGGAUAUACUACCACCUCAUAUAUUCUACGGGAUGGAUCAAUGGUUAAACGCGGUUUUGGUGACUCUAAUAGCUGAAUCCGGGCCGCAUUAGCUAGUUGGUAAGGUAACGGCCUACCAAGGCAACGAUGCGUAGCCGAUCUGAGAGGGUGAUCAGCCACACUGGAACUGAGACACGGUCCAGACUCCUACGGGAGGCAGCAGUAGGGAAUCUUCGGCAAUGGGCGAAAGCCUGACGCAGCAAUGCCGCGUGAGUGAUGAAGGUCUUCGGAUUGUAAAGCUCUGUUGUUAGGAAAGAACAAAUGCGGAAUUAACCAUGCACGUUUUGACGGUACCUAAAGAGUAAGCACCGGCUAACUACGUG
rnacentral:rRNA from 1 species